rfam:Pelobacter acetylenicus strain DSM 3247 genome.
UAAGCGCCUAUUUCGCCCUCCGCCGACGUGCGGACCCGACGAAACCCGC